CAGAGAUUUGAAAAUUUCCUUUUAUUAUUCAUAUUAAAAAUUUAACUUUAUUUCAGAACUGGUCCUCCCGUUGAAUUUGACUACUCUCUGCCACCAAGUUUCUCCAUAGUUCAUACGCAGAACGACAAAAAACAAAAUGAAACUGUACUCGAACCGGAAUACACUGGGAACUAGGAAAAAUGUACUAUAAAUACUCUUAUAUAUAACGACAAGUCUGAAGUUGAUUUUUAUUUUUGCAAAAAGGAAAAAACCUUUGUACUUAAUAAAUAUAUUUUAAAUAAAUGAUAAAUUUUAAGUUAACAAUAAAUCUUACAAAUUCGAGAUAUUUUUAUC